GAUGAACGCUGGCGGCGUGCUUAACACAUGCAAGUCGAACGGUGAAGCAGGAGCUUGCUCUUGUGGAUCAGUGGCGAACGGGUGAGUAACACGUGAGCAACCUGCCCCUGACUCUGGGAUAAGCGCUGGAAACGGCGUCUAAUACUGGAUAUGUGAUGUGACCGCAUGGUCUGCAUCUGGAAAGAAUUUCGGUUGGGGAUGGGCUCGCGGCCUAUCAGCUUGUUGGUGAGGUAAUGGCGCACCAAGGCGUCGACGGGUAGCCGGCCUGAGAGGGUGACCGGCCACACUGGGACUGAGACACGGCCCAGACUCCGACGGGAGGCAGCAGUGGGGAAUAUUGCACAGUGGGCGGAGGCCUGAUGCGGCAACGCCGCGUGGGGGAUGACGGCCUUCGGGUUGUAAACCUCUUUUAGCAGGGAAGAAGCGAAAGUGACGGUACCUGCAGAAAAAGCACCGGCUAACUACGUGCCAGCCGCCGCAGUAA
rnacentral:rRNA from 1 species